AGUGAACGCUGGCGGUAGGCCUAACACAUGCAAGUCGAACGGCAGCACAGUAAGAGCUUGCUCUUACGGGUGGCGAGUGGCGGACGGGUGAGGAAUACAUCGGAAUCUACUUUUUCGUGGGGGAUAACGUAGGGAAACUUACGCUAAUACCGCAUACGACCUACGGGUGAAAGCAGGGGAUCUUCGGACCUUGCGCGAUUGAAUGAGCCGAUGUCGGAUUAGCUAGUUGGCGGGGUAAAGGCCCACCAAGGCGACGAUCCGUAGCUGGUCUGAGAGGAUGAUCAGCCACACUUGAACUGGGGCACCGUCCCGAACCCUUAGGGGAGGCAGAGUGGGGGAUAUUGGACCAAGGGGGGAAAGCUUAUUCAAGCAAUCCCGCGUGGGUGAAGAAGGCUUCCGGGUGGUAAAGCCCUUUUGUUGGAAAAAAAAACCAGAAGGUUAAACCCCGGCUGUUCUGCCGUUACCAAAAGAAAAAGAACGGGCAACUUUCGU
rnacentral:rRNA from 1 species